GGUAAUGUGGCUUUGUGGUAGAGUGCUUGCCUAGCAUGCAUGAAGCCCUGGGUUCAAUUUCUCAAUACCA
rfam:Dipodomys ordii contig_4172, whole genome shotgun sequence.